rnacentral:rRNA from 1 species
UGGGGAAUAUUGCGGCAAUGGGGGCAACCCUGACGCAGCAAUACCGCGUGAGUGAAGAAGGUUUUCGGAUCGUAAAGCUCUGUUAUUGGGGAAGAAGAAGUGACGGUACCCAAUGAGGAAGUCCCGGCUAAUUACGUGCCAGCAGCCGCGGUAAUACGUAAGGGACGAGCGUUGUCCGGAAUCACUGGGCGUAAAGGGCGCGUAGGCGGUUUUAUAAGUCAGAUGUGAAAGGUACCGGCUCAACCGGUGACGUGCAUUUGAAACUGUAAGACUUGAGUACUGAAGAGGCAAGCGGAAUUCCUAGUGUAGCGGUGAAAUGCGUAGAUAUUAGGAAGAACACCGGUGGCGAAGGCGGCUUGCUGGGCAGAUACUGACGCUGAGGUGCGAAAGC